CUCCCCCGCAACAGGCAAAGAGUUACUUUGUUGGUGGUGGUGUUCUUAUAUCACUUGGGCUGAGCAGUUGGCAGUCCUUUGUUCAUUGUAGCCUGAUGCCUGGCUUGGUGCCCCAAACUGUUUUAUGCCCAGGACACAUAG